UGAGUUCGCGGGAGAGUAGGUUAUUGCCAGGGUUUUUAUUUUAUACUUUAAACAUUGAUUUUAUUUUUUAUGUUUUUAGAUGUUCAUGUUUUUGAAUGUUUUAUUCGAAUAAUAUAAAAAAUAAAAUAUAUAUAUUGACAUGGAUUAAACAAAGAUAUAUAUUAUUCUAUGUUGUAUAAACAAAUUGGCAAAAUAGAGAUGGAAGAUAAAAAUAUGGUCAAAGUAAUAAGAGUCUAUGGUGAAUGCCUAGGAGCUUUAAGGCGAAGAAGGUCGUGGUAAGCUGAGUUAACCGGGGGGGAGAAGCUAACCGAUCUCACCCCAGAAUCCGCAUGAUAAU
rnacentral:misc_RNA from 1 species